GUUCGUUGGUAGUUCUGAUCGCUCGUGGUAGGCGCUUUCACUUUGGGUGUGGUACAGUGAAUUACCAGCAUUUUUCACGAUAACCACACAUACAUAUACAUACCCCCACAAACACACCUAUUUGGUUAUAGUAAUACCUGUGAACCAUCAUCACCUCAAUGUACCUGACUCUUCCUCAAUAAAUACUCAAACUGCACCAUUGGAUUUGCCUAUUUCUUCUGACCGAGGAAGGCUCAGUUGACGAGCAAUCCAUAAUCAGCGCAGACGCGCACGGUCUCCUAUAGGAGUAAUAGAUGGAACCCACAUCCGAAUUAUCGCACCGUCGAAAGAAGAGGACGUUUAUGUUAAUAGAAAGAGGUACCACAGCAUAAACGUUCAAGUUGUUUUCAGGGCAGAUUAUAAGAUUUUAGACAUUGUUGCAAAAUGGCCCGGCGCAACACAUGAUGCCAGGAUACUGGCGGAGAGUGGCCUGAGACAUCUGUUUGAAGGACGUCGUAUUCCAGCAAAUUGCCACUUGUUAGGGGACAGUGGUUAUCCUUGUAAACCAUGGCUCCUCACACCUUACCUCCGUCCUGAGCAGGGGUCACAGCUAAAUUACAACAGAGCUCACAAGAAAACACGAGCCGUAGUUGAGCGGGGUAUUGGUCAACUAAAGAGGCGCUUUCACAUUUUACAUGGAGAGGUGACUGGCACCAGGAAAGGUCUUCAAAGUGAUAACAGCCUGUGCAGUGCUUCAUAACAUCUGUAAAGCUAGACAAAUUGCAGACCCUCCCACGGACAACUGGGCUGAUGAAGAGGAUGAUGAAGAAUACCCUCCAUAAGGGAGAGAUCUGUCCCAAAGUGGGAAUCCUUACAGAGCCCAGUUUACUAAUUUGCAUUUCAUAUAAGUAACAGUGAAUGUAAUAUAAAAAUCGUGAAUAAACAGCACCUUAGCCAACAUUUUCAUUAGAAAGAUAUUAUGAAGACACACAAAAAAUAUUAUUUGUUAUACGUUUUAUUUUUGAGUUGCUCAAUUUUUAGUUUGUAGUACUCCUCCUGUAGAUGGAGUACUAUUUUCUGCUGCUUUUGGACAUCCAUCUUCAUCUCCACUUUAGGGAUGGUGUUGGAGCAGCUGCAGCAGAAGGCAGGGAAUGAGGCGCUUCGGGCUGAGGGUCGUACAUCUGCGAUGUCGACGGUCCCCAUUCCUCUGCUGAAGGCUCAGUGUUAAGAAAACAUAUAAUCUCUGUUAUUUUAAAUAAAUGUAGGCCAAUUAUUAUUAUUUUUUUCAGUUCAAAGAAUGCCAGAUAUAAAUAUGUGAAAUGGCCUUGUCUAUGUUAAAUAAA